GAGGUCAGGGAUGGUGAUUCCCCCAGAAGUUCUUUUAUUGUUGAAAACAGUUUUUGCUAACUUGGGUUUUUUGUUAAUCCAAAUGAUUACACAUGGACUGACCCAUGGCUCCAGCUGUAUAUGUAGCAGAGGAUGGGCCUUGUUGGGCAUCAAUGGGAGAAGUCCUUGGUCCUGUAAAGGCUUGAUGCCCCAGUGUAGGGGAAUGUCAGGGUCGGGAGGCAGAAGGGAGUGGGCGUGUGGCAUGGGGAGUACCCUCAUGGAGGCAGGGGUUGGAGGAUGGGAUGGAGGAUUUCCGGAGGGGAAACUGAGAAAGGGGAUAACAUUUGAAAUGCACAUAAAGAAAAUAUCCAAUAAAAGAAAAGGAAAAAAGGAAAAAAAUGGUUAUUAUGAUCAUUUUACCAUGACCACCUUGUUCUGAUCACAUCUUUGUUUCAGAAAGUUGUUAGGACAAACUUAUACACAAACACCUAUUUUCCUGUCUAAUCUCCCAUUUGGAAACCUCUACUCCUGAACUAUAAAAACUCAUCUUUCCCAUGUGUAAUGUGGACCUCAGGAUCCCUACCUUUAGGGAGAGACAGCUCAUGUCCUUGAAUAAUAAAAUAAAAUAAAACUUAAAAAAAAAAAGAAAGA
rnacentral:lncRNA from 1 species